CUUAGUGAAGGUAGAGCUUUGAAUGUGUGAUGGCCCCAUCCCGGGGUACUGAAUACAAUCAAACUGCGAAUGUCAUUAAGGAUGUCCGGCAGUCAGACUGUGAGUGAUAAGGUCCAUGGUCAAGAGGGAAACAGCCCAGACCGCCAGUUAAGGUCCCAAAAUACAGGCUAAGUGGAAAAGGAUGUGGGGAUGCCCAGACAACUAGGAGGUUGGCUCAGAAGCAGCCAUCCUUUAAAGAGUGCGUAACAGCUCACUAGUCGAGUGACCCUGCGCCGAAAAUGUACCGGGGCUAAGCCUGAUACCGAAACUGCGGAUUGUAGGAAACUAUAGUGGUAGGGGAGCGUUGUAUACGAGCAGAAGCCGUACCGUGAGGAGCGGUGGAUUGUAUAGAAGUGAGAAUGCCGGUGUGAGUAGCGAGAUGUAGGUGAGAAUCCUACACACCGAAAGCCCAAGGAUUCCAGGGGAAGGUUCGUCCGCCCUGGGUAAGUCGGGACCUAACGCGAGGCCGAAAGGCGUAGUGGAUGGAAAGCAGGCGAAAGAUUCCUGCACCCGUAUAUGGAGCGAAGGAGUGACGGAGACGGAUAGUGUGACCCUCUUAAUGGAUUGAGGGCGAAGCGAAGCGGCUGGUUACCAGGCAAAUCCGGUAACUGAAAGGCUAGAGCGUGACAGGUAAGCGAAAUCUUUGGAAAGUAGCGAAGCACAUGAUGACGGCUUCCAGGAAAAGCUUCUGGCAAUGCAUAUGCGGCCCGUACCAAAACCGACACAGGUGGGCAGGGAGAGAAUCCCGAGGUGAGCGAGAGAACUGUUGCCAAGGAACUCGGCAAAAUGACUCCGUAAGUUAGCGAGAAGGAGUGCUUAAGCAAUUAAGCCGCAGUGAAGAGGCCCAAGCGACUGUUUAACUAAAACACAGCUCUCUGCGAAGUCGCAAGACGAAGUAUAGGGGGUGACACCUGCCCGGUGCUGGAAGGUUAAGAGGAUCUGUUAAGAGCGAUCUGAAGCAGUGAUCCGAAGCCCCAGUGAACGGCGGCCGUAACUAUAACGGUCCUAAGGUAGCGAAAUUCCUUGUCAGGUAAGUUCUGACCCGCACGAAAGGUGUAACGAUUUGGGCGCUGUCUCGGCAGCAGACUCGGUGAAAUCUUAGUACCUGUGAAAAUGCAGGUUACCCGCAACUAGACGGAAAGACCCCAUGGAGCUUUACUGCAGCCUGAUAUUGAAUUCUGGUCAUACAUGUACAGGAUAGGUGGGAGACAAAGAGACGUGCACGCCAGUGUACGAGGAGUCGCCGUUGGGAUACCACUCUUGUGUGACCGGGGUUCUAACCUGGUAUCGAGAACAGGUACGGGGAGAGUGUCAGGUGGGCAGUUUGACUGGGGCGGUCGCCUCCCAAAGAGUAACGGAGGCGCCCAAAGGUACGCUCAGAUUGGAUGGAAACCAAUCGUCGAGUGCAAUUGCAGAAGCGUGCUUGACUGUGAGACAGACAAGUCGAACAGGGACGAAAGUCGGGAAUAGUGAUCCGGCGGUGCCGAAUGGAAGGGCCGUCGCUCAACGGAUAAAAGCUACCCUGGGGAUAACAGGCU
rnacentral:rRNA from 1 species